CCUACGGGAGGCAGCAGUGAGGAAUAUUGGUCAAUGGGCGCAAGCCUGAACCAGCCAAGUAGCGUGAGGGAAGACUGCCCUACGGGUUGUAAACUUCUUUUAUAAGGGAAUAAAGUUGUGCACGUGUGGAUGUUUGCAGGUACCGCAUGAAUAAGGACCGGCUAAUUCCGUGCCAGCAGCCGCGGUAAUACGGAGGGUCCGGGCGUUAUCCGGAUUUAUUGGGUUUAAAGGGAGCGUAGGUGGGUUUUUAAGUGUGUCGUGAAAGUUUGUGGCUCAACCGUGAAAUUGCAGUGGAGACUGGCAGCCUUGAGUGCAGUGAAGGUAGGCGGAAUUCGUGGUGUAGCGGUGAAAUGCUUAGAUAUCACGAAGAACCCCGAUUGCGAAGGCAGCCUACUGAAGUGCUACUGACACUGAUGCUCGAAAGUGUGGGUAUCAAACAGGAUUAGAUACCCUUGUAGUC
rnacentral:rRNA from 1 species